UACGUAGGGGGCAAGCGUUGUCCGGAUUUAUUGGGCGUAAAGAGCGUGUAGGCGGUCAGGUAGGUCCGUUGUGACAACUCGAGGCUCAACCUCGAGACGCCGAUGGAAACCAUCUGACUAGAGUCCGGAAGAGGAGAGUGGAAUUCCUGGUGUAGCGGUGAAAUGCGCAGAUAUCAGGAAGAACACCCGUGGCUAAGGCGGCUCUCUAGUACGGUACUGACGCUGAGACGCGAAAGCGUGGGGAGCGAACAGG
rnacentral:rRNA from 1 species